rnacentral:rRNA from 1 species
GAUGAACGCUGGCGGCGUGCUUAACACAUGCAAGUCGAACGGUGAAGCCAAGCUUGCUUGGUGGAUCAGUGGCGAACGGGUGAGUAACACGUGAGCACCCUGCCCUGGACUCUGGGAUAAGCGCUGGAAACGGCGUCUAAUACUGGAUAUGAGCCUCUUCCGCAUGGUGGGGGUUGGAAAGAUUUUUUGGUCUGGGAUGGGCUCGCGGCCUAUCAGCUUGUUGGUGAGGUAAUGGCUCACCAAGGCGUCGACGGGUAGCCGGCCUGAGAGGGUGACCGGCCACACUGGGACUGAGACACGGCCCAGACUCCUACGGGAGGCAGCAGUGGGGAAUAUUGCACAAUGGGCGAAAGCCUGAUGCAGCAACGCCGCGUGAGGGAUGACGGCCUUCGGGUUGUAAACCUCUUUUAGCAGGGAAGAAGCGAAAGUGACGGUAACUGCAGAAAAAGCGCCGGCUAACUACGUG